rnacentral:rRNA from 1 species
UACGAAGGGGGCUAGCGUUAAUCGGAAUUACUGGGCGUAAAGCGUGCGCAGGCGGUGAUGUAAGACAGUUGUGAAAUCCCCGGGCUCAACCUGGGAACUGCAUCUGUGACUGGCAUCGCUGGAGUGCGGCAGAGGGGGAUGGAAUUCCGCGUGUAGCAGUGAAAUGCGUAGAUAUGCGGAGGAACACCGAUGGCGAAGGCGGGUCGUCUGGGCCGGAUCACUGACGCUGAGGCGCGAAAGCGUGGGGAGCAAACGGG